UCUGUCGCCUCUCCUCUCGUAGCCUUCGGCCAGCCGCCGCCGCCGCCGCGCUGCUCGCCCUCGCGCUCCUCCUUCUGCUCCGCUGCGGGGCGCGCGCCCUCGCCUCGCGUUGCGCCUCCUGCCUCAAGCCGCCCCGCCACACCCUCUCCGCCGCCGGCACAGAUGGGGGCCUCGCCGGUGCACCCCUCGCCUCCAUGCCGCGCAUCGGGGGCGCCUGGUUCAGGGCCGCCCUCGCCUGCUCCGGCUACGUCCUACUGGCGCAGCUCGCCGCGCUGAGCUACGAGGCCGUGGCGGCGGCGCCGCCCGUCGAGGCCGAGGCGCUGCUGCUGCAGGUCGUGCAGGCCUUCCCCCAUGAAGUGGUACCUGGGCGUGGACGUCAUGGGGAUCCAUGUCAAGUCCGGGCUGGCGGCCAUGGUGUACAGGAAGGGCCUCAGGCUAUCGAAUGCCUCAGAGCAGAGCCAUACGAGCGGAGAGGCUCACACUGAAGGAGGGCUAAAUUGUGUGAUAGCCUUGUUUGGUCCUUCCAUAUACCUACAAGGUCUGAAUCAAGAUGUCAUGGUCUAUCAUUGAACUGAAUGCUUCAACGAAACUCUCAUUUCAGGUGUUGCCCGUCGCCUCCACGUCCGUCAAGUUGGCGCGUCACAUCAUCAGGAGGAGAGGAAGUUGUCAUUGCUCUGCCCGGAGGAGCGGGUCGUCGCGUCGUCGACGGGAGGAAGCCAGGUGGUGCACACUGUUGCCACCGACUACGCCCUGGGUGACACCAAUAGGAUCCAAUGGCUCGAUCCACACCCACGCGCUGCUUGGCAUCGCCAGGUCACUGUUGCGUGAUUGUCCAACAUUGCUGCCAUGCGUCCUCAAGCAGGAGGAACCGAUUUCUAAGUUGUAGGAGCAACAGGAAGGAGAACAUCUAUGCGCUCGGUCAUGCUCUCAGGAAACCAUGAUGUGUUAUUUCCAAUGAAAUGAAUUACUGGUUUAUAUGUGUUUCGUAAUCUGCUUUGAACUGUACGCCUGGUUGCUUAUUAGAUUCGAUUAUACGUGUUUGAUUCUCUGAAAAUGAUCCAGAGUAUGUGUUAGCAGGCUAAAGAUGUAUGAUUGCAUCACUGUUAUAUAUUUGUUUUUGCCAUCACUUCAUGGUUUUUGGUCUAUGCACUUCGUGUUUUCUCUUCUUCAGGUACCAUUUUUCCUGUAAGCAUUUGGGGUUUAAGGUUCAGUCGUUCGAGGGGAGCUGUGUAUCAUAUGAGGAAUGCAAUGACAGAAGUAUAGGAUGGUACCUGAAGAAUUCAUGGCUGGUCACUCAUGCAGUUGCUAAGCUCGGCGCCACCAGUUCUCUUCUUGGAUAAGAGUGGUUCUGCAAGAUAGUGAGCUUGGACGCCCGGUUGCCAUCUGCUCCUCUAGCAUCGACUUCUACCCCAGCUCCCCUCCCGUCAAGAUACUGCAAAAGGCACCUCUGCCUUUCCUGUGCAGUUAUUCAGGUAGACGUCCAGUGGUUAAGACUCUGUGCAGUCAACCAUGGCAUUGCGAGAGGACCAAGACAAGAGACUAAUGCUUCGCUGAGAAACAACAGACGCUAGAUCAUUGACUUGGACAGUCACCAUGCACCAAGUCCGUUCCUACCGGGUUACAAGUGUUGUCUUCCUCACGUGUCUUUGAGAAAUCCUAAUGUUGGAUUAGUGGUCUCAGUGUUCCCUUUUGUAUCUGUUUGCCGCCACUCUACCUCUAUCUCUUUUUGUACCACCUUCAUUGCAGUUACGGAUACAACAUUUGAUCGCUUAAUGGCUAAUAAAGUUGUCGGACAUAAGGUUGGACUGCUUUGAGUUGUUUUAA